UACGUGAGGGGCGAACGUUGUUCGGUGUCACUGGGCUUAAAGGGCGCGUAGGUGGCUGCGUAAGUAAGGUGUGAAAGCCCUCGGCUUACCCGGGGAAUUGCGCCUUAUACUGCGUGGCUUGAGGAUUUCAGGGGAAAGGGGAACUCCGAGUGUAGCGGUGAAAUGCGCAGAUAUCAGGAGGAACACCGGUGGCGAAGGCGGGUCUCUGGGCCGAUACUGACGCUGGAGGAGCGAAAGCGUGGGGAGCGAACAGG
rnacentral:rRNA from 1 species